CGUACCUACGGGACGCAGCAGUGAGGAAUAUUGGUCAAUGGCCGAGAGGCUGAACCAGCCAAGUCGCGUGAGGGAUGACGGCCCUACGGGUUGUAAACCUCUUUUGUCGGGGAGCAAAGAGAGUCACGUGUGGCUCAUUGAGAGUACCCGAAGAAAAAGCAUCGGCUAACUCCGUGCCAGCAGCCGCGGUAAUACGGAGGAUGCGAGCGUUAUCCGGAUUUAUUGGGUUUAAAGGGUGCGUAGGCGGACAGUCAAGUCAGCGGUAAAAAUGCGGUGCUCAACUCCGUACAGCCGUUGAA
rnacentral:rRNA from 1 species